UAGUUCAAUUCAGAACUGCAGAUAGUACAGCUUCCACAGGAGCAGGGUUGCCUGAGCACAAGUGUCUGAGUUCGGAGUGACUUUCCGAAGCGCUUCUCCGCCUUCUUCAGCGUGCCAACAGGGAUUCUGCACAUGCACCACACACUGCCUGAGAAAGCUUCUCUCUGCCUCGGGGAACAAGGAACUAGAGGAAAAAGAAACACUUUGAAAUUAGGAAUCUUCCCCAAAUGAUCAGCUAAUUUAUGAAGGAAACUGAAGGGAGUUUGCUCUACAACUCCAAUGACAACUCUGCAGAAACUGAGAAAUAUGGAUAUCUCCAGAAGACUAUAGAGUUUGAACCAGCAGCUGGAGUCAGGCGAUUAAGAUAUGACGACUGAAGCCCAGAGCCUGGAUGUGCAGACUGCCCAGGCUGGAGGCACAGGGGUGCAAACACGUAAUCCCAAUGCUCACGAAGCUGAGGGAGGAAGAGCAGGACAUGGAGGCCAGCCUGGUGACACAGAUCCUAAAAAAGAUAAGUAAUUUGAAGUUCAUGUUGGAGUUAUGCUGGUUCAUUUUUAAGCCUUUUCUAUUAUACUAAAAACAUGUCAGCUGGUACAUAGUUGUUAUAUAAACCACAUAAAAGCAUUUGUGGUUUAUAUUUAUUGCAGUAAAUGUGUGUGGGGAGGAUUCUUAUAAGUGAAUCUAGCUGAUAUGCACAUUAAAAAUAAUUAUUUUUAAUCACUUGUGAUUUUACUAAUACUUUCAAGACUCUUCUUGGAAAUAGAGCUUUGUUUCAAUGAAAAUCCAUAAAACCUUUUAUAGAGUGAGAAGGUAGAAUCAUUUACACAACUUUCUGGAAAAGGAGGCCAGAAACUUACAGACCCUUCUGGGGUGUCAACAUCUUAGUAAGAAAAGAUAUCUGAUCUAAGCCAACCUCCUGCAUGUCUUGUCAUGAUUUUUCCUCUUGCUCAGUGGAAACCCAGAUUCAAGUUCUCAGCUUGGAUCUGAAUGAUUUUAGUCAGUUUUGACCUCUUUGAUAUAUUUUCUCCUUCUAUUGACAUAUCCAGAAGCCCCAAUAAUGACAAUUUUAAUUCCCCAAGAUAAGAUUUCCUGAGUUGGGAAUGUUUGCUGUCUCACUGAGAAGAUUAAAGUGCUAGUGUUGAAACAUUUCAUAAUAUUUCCUGAACAGAGGGAUAGCACCUUUAAAGAAAUAGAAAUGGGCAAGAUAAAGAGCCCUUCGGGCCAUCAAUGACAGUUUAGCUGAAAUCUCCUUUCUGGAGAGUAUUAUUUCCUUGUAGUAUUAUUUCCUUGGAGGAGAGGUGAGAGUAAUCUUAUACAUCAUUAAAUACAACAUACUUUUAACUUCUUACAUUUUGAAGAGUCCAUUCAUGAGAGAAAGGAAACUUAUUAAUAGAUAAAUUUAUUCAUGGGUAUAUGUCACCCCCAUCAAGUAAUUUUUAGCUACGUGGAAUGAAGGAUAAAAUGUAUGUGGUAGCAAAUUCUCAUUUCCUUUCAUUUGUACAGAUCAAUGCCCACACACCCAAUUUAGGUCAAGGCAUCAGGCAGAGGGGAGGGCUGCAGACUGGCACUGAGAUGCUCUAUUUCACACACUUGCCCUCUGGAAGGUUUGCAGAGGCAGUCACUUAAAUUAACUACAGGUCAUCAAACACGAUAUAUAAUCUAUUUCUAAAACAGACAACUUCAGCAUCCCAAAUCCCUAUGGCCUUUUACUGAGGCACAUGGUAGUACUUCUUCAUGUUCCUCUGUCAAUUCAUGUUAAAGUUUGCUUUGUUUAAAAGUGGUAUUUCAUGUAUUUCUGUGACCCUCUUGCUCAAAGCAAGGAAAUUGCUUUGGUUUAUUUAUGAUCCACUAACCUUAAGCAAAACUGAAAUGUUUUGUGCUCUCAAAGCCUAGGGAGCAGAAAUAAAAGCUAAAAUAAAUUUGGUCUUGGUGGAUAUCAGUCUUAUCCUGUCCACAGGAUCCUUUAGCAUCAUGAAGAGGACCAUAAGUGGAAAUUUAUCCAUAGACCUCUUUUGGUAACUUCUUUCAUUCAAGAAAAACUUUGCAAAAAUAUUGUUGCCAGUUCAGAAUUCUAUAAUUAUAGCAUUUUCUAAAAAAACUACACACUUUUUUAAAAUCAGAGAAUGGAAAUCCUUAGCAGUAUUGAAUCUCAAUAUUUUCUAAAGACAGCCAAGGACAGGUCAGGAAAAUAAAAAUGUAUGAGAGAUAGAUUGAUGGAUAUAACAUAGUGAUUGAGAUUGCUAUCAGAUGAUAUGGUGUAAAACUGAGUUGGCUAAACAUAAAACAAUUAUUCUGAUGAGGAAAAAAUAAUAUAGAAUGUGGAAUCUUCAGACUACUAUGUCAUCUGACACUAGAGUAAGAUGCAGCAAGAACAACCAUCCUACCUCACUGUGGAAAGUGUAAACCAUUAGGAGGUUUAUACCUUCAACAAAGUAUAGCUACGUGAGACAAGAAUCUGGCUUAUUCCAGCUGAAUAAGAGCUAAAUAUUAUUACAUUACUCUACUUCAUGUAUAAAUGAUAUGCUAUUUAUCUUUCUUUGUACUAGAAAUGAAAUAUUAAUACAACUUCUAGGGAUAGAGAAAUGUGACUCAGUGCUGAAAUGUGCUUUCCAUACAAAUGUUGGAGCCAGAUGUGACAUAAGACCACCCAAGAUCAUUUUGAAAGUACCCAUAUAAACAGUUGGACGUGGCCACACGUGUCUAUAACCUCAAAUGGAUGAGAAGCAAAAACCAGAGAAUCACUAGAGCUGGUGAAAAGUCGGAAGCUCUGGAGUCAACAAGUGACUCUGUCUCAAGGAAAAACAUGAAGCAUGAAGUGGAGACUUGUCAAACCUUGGGAUGCAAAAAUUCCAUUACCCCUCUUUCCUGUUCUUUUAAAAUGGCUUCAAAUGCCUGCGCCGCUUGAUUAAAAGGACUGUGAUUUGCUCCUCCCGCAACUUCAUACAUGUGCAGGUACUAGAAAGUCAGCAGAACUCUGGCUUCGAGGUUGCUUCAGUGAACAUUCAACGCUGUCGCUCAAUGAAAACUGUGUGGACCUGAAGCACAAUCUGUUUGAUGACUUGUCAUUCUACCUCGCCUGUCUGUAAUUUGGAAUCUGUGAACAUUCAUCUCUUCUGCUUAAAAAAAUUAUCAUUUUACAGAAGCUGUUCUUCACCAAGUUGCCAAGAAGUCUCUCGAUAUUUCCAGAUGAAUAAACUAGGUCUGGUUCAAAAAC